rnacentral:rRNA from 2 species
UAGAAUUCCACGUGUAGCAGUGAAAUGCGUAGAGAUGUGGAGGAAUACCGAUGGCGAAGGCAGCCUCCUGGGAUAACACUGACGUUCAUGCUCGAAAGCGUGGGUAGCAAACAGGAUUAGAUACCCUGGUAGUCCACGCCCUAAACGAUGACAAUUAGCUGUUGGGACACUAGAUGUUUUAGUAGCGAAGCUAACGCGUGAAAUUGUCCGCCUGGGGAGUACGGUCGCAAGAUUAAAACUCAAGGAAUUGACGGGGACCCGCACAAGCGGUGGAUGAUGUGGAUUAAUUCGAUGCAACGCGAAGAACCUUACCUGGUCUUGACAUGUACGGAAUCUCUUAGAGAUAGGAGAGUGCCUUCGGGAGCCGUAACACAGGUGCUGCAUGGCUGUCGUCAGCUCGUGUCGUGAGAUGUUGGGUUAAGUCCCGCAACGAGCGCAACCCUUGUCAUUAGUUGCCAUCAUUAAGUUGGGCACUCUAAUGAGACUGCCGGUGACAAACCGGAGGAAGGUGGGGAUGACGUCAAGUCCUCAUGGCCCUUAUGACCAGGGCUUCACACGUCAUACAAUGGUCGGUACAGAGGGUAGCGAAGCCGCGAGGUGAAGCCAAUCUCAGAAAGCCGAUCGUAGUCCGGAUUGCACUCUGCAACUCGAGUGCAUGAAGUCGGAAUCGCUAGUAAUCGCAGGUCAGCAUAG